rnacentral:rRNA from 1 species
AGACCCGAAACCCGGUGAUCUAGCCAUGGGCAGGUUGAAGGUUGGGUAACACUAACUGGAGGACCGAACCGACUAAUGUUGAAAAAUUAGCGGAUGACCUGUGGCUGGGGGUGAAAGGCCAAUCAAACCGGGAGAUAGCUGGUUCUCCCCGAAAGCUAUUUAGGUAGCGCCUCGUGAAUUCAUCUCCGGGGGUAGAGCACUGUUUCGGCUAGGGGGCCAUCCCGGCUUACCAACCCGAUGCAAACUGCGAAUACCGGAGAAUGUUAUCACGGGAGACACACGGCGGGUGCUAACGUCCGUCGUGAAGAGGGAAACAACCCAGACCGCCAGCUAAGGUCCCAAAGUCAUGGUUAAGUGGGAAACGAUGUGGGAAGGCCCAGACAGCCAGGAUGUUGGCUUAGAAGCAGCCAUCAUUUAAAGAAAGCGUAAUAGCUCACUGGUCGAGUCGGCCUGCGCGGAAGAUGUAACGGGGCUAAACCAUGCACCGAAGCUGCGGCAGCGACACUGUGUGUUGUUGGGUAGGGGAGCGUUCUGUAAGCCUGUGAAGGUGUGUCGUGAGGCAUGCUGGAGGUAUCAGAAGUGCGAAUGCUGACAUAAGUAACGAUAAAGCGGGUGAAAAGCCCGCUCGCCGGAAGACCAAGGGUUCCUGUCCAACGUUAAUCGGGGCAGGGUGAGUCGACCCCUAAGGCGAGGCCGAAAGGCGUAGUCGAUGGGAAACGGGUUAAUAUUCCCGUACUUGGUGUUACUGCGAAGGGGGGACGGAGAAGGCUAUGUUGGCCGGGCGACGGUUGUCCCGGUUUAAGCGUGUAGGUGUGUGUUCCAGGUAAAUCCGGUUCACUUUAACACUGAGGCGUGACGACGAGGCACUACGGUGCUGAAGCAACAAAUGCCCUGCUUCCAGGAAAAGCCUCUAAGCAUCAGGUAACAUCAAAUCGUACCCCAAACCGACACAGGUGGUCAGGUAGAGAAUACCAAGGCGCUUGAGAGAACUCGGGUGAA